AAAAAAAAAAAAAAAAACUCCAUAGAGUUGUUUUCUCAAUCGGGUCCGAGGAAUCGUCGAUCUGGACUUGGAAUCGUCGAGAAAAGUUUACCGGGUCCGAGGGUUUGUCGACCAGGACGAGGAAUCGUCGACCGGGUCCGAGGAUUUGUCGACCAGGGGUUGAAAUCGUCGACCAGGUCCGAGACUUCAUCGACCGGGUCCGAGGAAUCGUCGACCAGGACGAUGAAUGGUCGAUGAAAAUCUAUCGGGUUCGAGGAAUGGUCGACCAGGGGUUGAAAUCGUCGACCAGGUCCGAGACUUCAUCGACCG